AUCAUUCCUCUGGUUCUUCUGGCUCUGAUCAUCACUGGUCUCAUUACUGUUUCUCUUUAAGAAGCAUCAGUCUCGAGGCGUUGCUUCGUCAUCUCAGGCUGGAGCAGGAAAACAUGAUCUGAUUUCUCACACUGGUUGUGAUUUUGAGAACAUUGAAGACACUCAGAAGCAAUUACCCACAAACCCCUCUGAUUCAUCUAACACUGUUUAUGCCACCACUCAAUUGCCCACCAACCCCUCUGAUUCUCCUAAUUGUGUUUACUCUACGGUUCAUAAAGCCACUGGUGACUCUCAGGUCGUCAUCAC